rnacentral:lncRNA from 1 species
GUGGACUCCUGUGAGAUAGCGAGUGGCCUUCUUGUCUGUGAGAGAGAGAGAAGCGGAAGGUAGAAAGGCCAAAUACUCAGAUGCGACCAUGCUCCCAACCCAGUGAAGAUCAAGGUCGUGACAGGAAGCUAUUCCACCUCACCUUGGCCUGCAGGGCAAGCCCCAUGCUGUCUGGGGUUUCCCAGGAGGUUGCUAAGGGCAAAUGGGAAUGUGGAAUGUAGCCACCAUUUUGUACAAACAUUAGAUGCUCAAUAAACUUCUAAAGAGUUAGCAAUUUUAUGAGGACCAAGGACCAGAAGAACGUGGUCAGCAUUCCAGAUAAGGCAGGAUGGGGUUUUUGUGGGCUUGGUUCUUUUGCUUCAGCCAACUCAAAGGCUCAAGUAAAGUCUUGGAUCUUUACCCUGAACCAGCCAAGGCUUUGGAGUCACUGGCAGGAAUCAAGAGUAUGUAACUCUGGCAGAGCCACUAGCGGAAGAAUAGAUGGGGAGAAGCAUGUUACUAGUGGAAGGUCCAGACAUUCCAGUUCCUUCUUCAAACGCAGCUCACUAUUUAUGGGUGAAAUGGGAAAAAGGUUUAGGAUUGGCUUCAAAACAAAACGAAG